rnacentral:rRNA from 1 species
AAUGAACGCUGGCGGCAUGCCUUACACAUGCAAGUCGAACGGUAACAGGUCUUCGGAUGCUGACGAGUGGCGAACGGGUGAGUAAUACAUCGGAACGUGCCUAGUAGUGGGGGAUAACUACUCGAAAGAGUGGCUAAUACCGCAUGAGAUCUACGGAUGAAAGCAGGGGAUCGCAAGACCUUGUGCUACUAGAGCGGCCGAUGGCAGAUUAGGUAGUUGGUGGGAUAAAAGCUUACCAAGCCGACGAUCUGUAGCUGGUCUGAGAGGACGAUCAGCCACACUGGGACUGAGAAACGGCCCAGACUCCUACGGGAGGCAGCAGUGGGGAAUUUUGGACAAUGGGCGCAAGCCUGAUCCAGCAAUGCCGCGUGCAGGAUGAAGGCCUUCGGGUUGUAAACUGCUUUUGUACGGAACGAAAAGCCCUGGGUUAAUACCCUGGGGUCAUGACGGUACCGUAAGAAUAAGCACCGGCUAACUACGUGCCAGCCGCCGCGGUAAGAC